rnacentral:rRNA from 1 species
GACGAACGCUGGCGGCGUGCCUAAUACAUGCAAGUCGAACGCAGUGGGGACGGGUGAGUAACACGUGGGUAACCUCCCAUCAGAGGGGAUAACACGUGGAAACAGGUGCUAAACCGAUACUGAGGGAAGGCCCCGCGGUGCAUUAGCUAGGUGGGGAGGUAACGGCGCACCAAGGCCACGAUGCAUAGCAUACCAGAGAGUGUAAUCGGCCACCCGUGGACGUAGACAAUGCCCAGCCUCCUACGGGAGGCAGCAGUAGGGCAUCUUCGGCAAUGGACGAAAGUCUGACCGAGCAACGCCGCGUGAGUGACGAAGGUUUUCGGAUCGUAAAACUCUGUUGUUAGAGAAGCGGUAUCUAACCAGAAAGCCAGGGCUAACUCCGUGCCAGCAGCCGCGGUAAUAC